rnacentral:lncRNA from 1 species
UGACACAAUGCAGUUGACUUUAUUAUUGGAGUACAUUACACUGAUGGAGCCAUUUCUCCCUUGGAGAGCAAGGUGAAAGCCGUCCAUGCCCGACUGUCGCUGUAUGACACACAAAGGAAAGCUAAACGCUUCUAUCUUUUUUAGGAGAUCCACUUUUAGAGCUGUGCGGAAGUUGUUACCACUUACCUGGAAAGAGUCAGGACAAACUAGAGUCCAGUUCUCUAUUCAGGUUAUUAGUUCAAGAUGGCAGACCAGAGGCAACGUUCGCUGUCUACCUCUGGAGAAUCAUUAUACCACGUGCUAGGACUGGAUAAGAAUGCCACCUCUGAUGAUAUUAAAAAGUCAUACAGGAAGCUUGCAUUGAAAUACCAUCCUGAUAAGAACCCUGAUAAUCCAGAGGCAGCAGAAAAAUUUAAAGAGAUCAACAAUGCACAUGCGAUAUUGACUGAUGCCACGAAGAGAAACAUUUAUGAUAAGUAUGGUUCUCUGGGUCUGUAUGUAGCAGAGCAAUUUGGAGAAGAAAAUGUGAACACAUACUUCGUCCUAUCCAGCUGGUGGGCAAAGGCCUUGUUUGUGUUCUGUGGGCUCAUCACAGGCUGCUAUUGCUGUUGCUGUCUGUGUUGCUGCUGUAAUUGUUGCUGUGGGAAGUGUAAACCUAAACCUCCUGAAGGUGAAGAGCAGGAAUACUACGUCUCUCCAGAGGACUUGGAGGCACAGUUGCAGUCAGAUGAAAGGGAGGCCUCAGAAACACCUAUUGUGAUACAGCCAGCAUCAGCCACAGAGACAACCCAGCUCACAGCUGACUCUCACCCCAGCUACCACACUGAUGGAUUUAAUUAA